rnacentral:sRNA from 1 species
GGACCUGACACCUGCCCAGCUCACACGAAGGAUUCAGAGCCUUAAAAAGAAGAUCCGGAAGUUUGAAGAUAGAUUCGAAGAAGAGAAGAAGUACAGACCUUCCCACAGUGACAAAGCAGCCAAUCCAGAGGUUCUGAAAUGGACAAAUGACCUUGCCAAAUUCCGGAGACAACUUAAAGAAUCAAAACUAAAGAUAUCUGAAGAGGACCUAACUCCCAGGAUGCGGCAGCGAAGCAACACACUCCCCAAGAGUUUUGGUUCCCAACUUGAGAAAGAAGAUGAGAAGAAGCAAGAGCUGGUGGAUAAAGCAAUAAAGCCCAGUGUUGAAGCCACAUUGGAAUCUAUUCAGAGGAAGCUCCAGGAGAAGCGAGCGGAAAGCAGCCGCCCUGAGGACAUUAAGGAUAUGACCAAAGACCAGAUUGCUAAUGAGAAAGUGGCUCUGCAGAAAGCUCUGUUAUAUUAUGAAAGCAUUCAUGGACGGCCGGUAACAAAGAACGAACGGCAGGUGAUGAAGCCACUAUACGACAGGUACCGACUGGUCAAACAGAUCCUCUCCCGAGCUAACACCAUACCCAUCAUUGGUUCCCCCUCCAGCAAGCGGAGAAGCCCUUUGCUGCAGCCAAUUAUCGAGGGCGAAACUGCUUCCUUCUUCAAGGAGAUAAAGGAAGAAGAGGAGGGGUCAGAAGACGAUAGCAAUGUGAAGCCAGACUUCAUGGUCACUCUGAAAACCGAUUUCAGUGCACGAUGCUUUCUGGACCAAUUCGAAGAUGACGCUGAUGGAUUUAUUUCCCCAAUGGAUGAUAAAAUACCAUCAAAAUGCAGCCAGGACACAGGGCUUUCAAAUCUCCAUGCUGCCUCAAUGUAUGUCAUUUUGGUGGUGGUGGUGAAAUGUUUUGGUAAAAAUAGCUCACUUAAAUAUUAUCUUAGCCUUUGUAUCUAAAUAAAUUAGCUGAUAAAAUACAAGUGACUACCUGGGGUGUAUCUGGAUAAAACAGUGAUUUUUUUUUAAAUUUCUUUUUUUAUAUGCUUC